rnacentral:rRNA from 1 species
AGCGAACGCUGGCGGCAGGCCUAACACAUGCAAGUCGAGCGCCGUAGCAAUACGGAGCGGCAGACGGGAGAGUAACACGUGGGAACGUACCCUUUGGUUCGGAACAACCCAGGGAAACUUGGGCUAAUACCGGAUAAGCCCUCACGGGGAAAGAUUCAUCGCCGAAGGAUCGGCCCGCGUCUGAUUAGCUAGUUGGUGGGGUAAUGGCCCACCAAGGCGACGAUCAGUAGCUGGUCUGAGAGGAUGAUCGGCCUCACUGGGACUGAGACACGGCCCAGACUCCGAAGGGAGGCAGCAGGGAGGAAUAUGGGACAAUGGGCGCAAGCCUGAUCCAGCCAGGCGGGGUGGGGGAUGAAGGCCGUAGGGUUGUAAAGCCCUUUCGGCGGGGAAGAUAAUGACGGUAGCCGCAGAAGAAGCCCCGGCUAACUUCGUGCCAGCCGCCGCGGUAACAC